GACGGGGGAUGCAAGCGUUAUCCGGACUCACUGGGCGUAAAGCGUCUGUAGGUGGUGCUGCAAGUCACUGGUGCAAAACUCUGGCUCAACCGGAGGAAAGCCAGUGAAACUGCAUGACUAGAGUGUGGGAGAGGUAGAAGGAAUUCCCUGAGUAGCGGUGAAAUGCGUAGACACAGGGAAGAACACCGGAGGCGAAAGCGUUCUACUGGAACACAACUGACCCUGAGAGACGAAAGCUAGGGGCGCGAAGGGG
rnacentral:rRNA from 1 species